UACGGAGGGUGCAAGCGUUAUCCGGAUUUACUGGGUUUAAAGGGUGUGUAGGCGGGCUUUUAAGUCAGUGGUGAAAUCUCCGGGCUCAACCCGGAAACUGCCAUUGAUACUAUUAGUCUUGAAUUUUGUUGAGGUAGGCGGAAUAAGUCAUGUAGUGGUGAAAUGCAUAGAUAUGACUUAGAACACCAAUUGCGAAGACAGCUUGCUAAACAAAUAUUGACGCUGAGGCACGAAAGCGUGGGGAUCAAACAGG
rnacentral:rRNA from 1 species